AUGGCCAAUUACCUGAUUAGUGGGGGCACAUCCUACAUCCUGGACGAUGGACUUACAACACAGCAGCUCUUCAACUGUGGGGAUGGCCUCAUCUACAACGAUUUUCUCAUUCUCCCUGGGUACAUGGACUUCACUGCAGACCAGGUGGAUCUGACUUCAGCUCUGACUAAGAAGAUCACUCUCAAGACCCCACUGGUUUCCUCCCCCAUGGAUACAGUCACAGCAGCAGGGAUGGCCAUUGCAGUGGCGCUCACAGGUGGUGUUGGUUUCAUCCACCACAACUGUACACCUGAAUUCCAAGCUAUUGAAGUUUGUAAAGUAAAGAAAUAUGAACAGGGAUUCAUCACAGACCCUGUGGUUCUCAGUCCCAAGGAUCGAGUGUGAGAUGUUUUUGAGGCUAAGGCUCAGCAUGGCUUCUGUGAAAUUCCCAUCACAGAUACAGGCCAGAUGGGGAGCCACUUGGUGUGGGCAUCAUGUCCUCGAGGGAUCUUGAUUUUCUCAAGGAAGAGGAGCAUGACCGGUUUCUAGAAGAGAUCGUGACAAAGAGGGAAGACUUGGUGGUAGCCCCUGCUGGCAUCAGACUAAAAGUAGCAAAUAAAAUUUUGCAGCACCGCAAGAGGGGAAAGUUGCCCAUUUUAAAUGAAGAUGAUGAGCUGGUGGCCAUCAUUGUCCAGACAGACCUGAAGAAGAACACGGAUUACCCACUGGCCUCCAAAGAUGCCAAGAAACAGCUGCUGUGUGGGGCAGCCAUUGGCACUCACGAGGAUGACAAAUAUAGGCUGGACUUGUUGGCCCAGUCUGGUAUAGAUGUUGUGGUUUUGGACUCUUCCCAGGGCAACUCCAUCUUACAGAUCAAUAUGAUCAAGUACAUCAAAGAAAAAUACCCUAAUCUCCAAGUAAUUGGAGGCAAUGUGGUCACUGCAGCUCAGGCCAAGAACCUCAUCGACACAGGUGUGGAUCCCCUUUGGGUGGGCAUGGGAAGUGGCUCCAUCUGCAUUACCCAGGAAGUGUUGACCUGUGGGAGGCCCCAAGCGACAGCAGUGUACAAGGAAGGUAUCAGAGUAUGUAAGGCGCUGUGGUGUUCCUGUCAUUGCUGAUGGAGGAAUUCAAAACGUGGGUCACAUUGCCAAAGCUUUGGCCCUGGGGGCCUUCACAGUCAUGAUGGGCUCCCUACUGGCUGCCACCACUGAAGCCCCAGGUGAAUAUUUCUUCUCUGAUGGAAUACGGCUAAAGAAAUACCAUGGCAUGGGUUCUCUUGAUGCCAUGGACAAGCAUCUUAGCAGCCAGAAUCUUUACUUCAGUGAAGCUGACAAAAUCAAAGUGGCCCAAGGGGUAUCCGGAGCUGUUCAGGACAAGGGGUCUAUCCACAAGUUUGUCCCUUACCUGAUUGCUGGCAUCCAGCACUCCUGCCAGGACAUUGGUGCCAAGAGCUUGACCCAAGUCCAAGCCAUGAUGUACUCUGGGGAACUGAAGUUUGAGAAAAGAAUAUCCUCAGCCCAGGUGGAAGGUGGUGUCCACAGCCUUCACUCGUAUGAGAAGCGGCUUUUCUGAAAAAGAAUCUAUCACACAUCUUGGUUUUUCAAUAAAAGUUUGGAAAA